AAUAUUUGACAAUGGGGGCAACCCUGAUCCAGCCAGGCCGCGGGUGUGAAGAAGGUCUNCGGAUUNUNAAGCAAUUUAAGUUGAGNAGAAGGGCUUUAGGCUAUUACCCUGAAGUUUUGACGUUAUCACCAGAAUAAGCACCGGCUAACUCUUGGUCAGCAGCCGCGGUAAUACAGAGGGUGCAAGCGUUAAUCGGAAUUACUGGGCGUAAAGCGCGCGUAGGUGGUUCAGUAAGAUAGGUGGGAAAUCCCCGGGCUUAACAUGGGAACUGCUUUCAUAACUGCUGAGCUAGAGUACGGUAGAGGGUAGUGGAAUUUCCUGUGUAGCGGUGAAAUGCGUAGGUAUAGGGAGGAACACCAGUGGCGAAGGCGACUACCUGGACUGAUACUGACACUGAGGUGCGAAAGCGUGGGGAGCAAACA
rnacentral:rRNA from 1 species